GAGACAGCAGCCGCCGCGGUAAUACGAACCGUCCGAACGUUAUUCGGAAUUACUGGGCUUAAAGCGCGUGUAGGCGGUUUCUUAAGUCUGAUGUGAAAGCCCCCGGCUCAACCGGGGAGGGUCAUUGGAAACUGGGAAACUUGAGUGCAGAAGAGGAGAGUGGAAUUCCACGUGUAGCGGUGAAAUGCGUAGAGAUGUGGAGGAACACCAGUGGCGAAGGCGACUCUCUGGUCUGUAACUGACGCUGAGGCUCGAAAGCGUGGGGAGCAAACAGGAUUAGAGACCCCCGUAGUCCCUGUCUCUUAUAA
rnacentral:rRNA from 1 species